rnacentral:lncRNA from 1 species
GGAAACUCCCAAUCCUUAAAGGAACAAUAUGUAGAGUUACUACAAGGAUUAUUACAUUCCAUAGAUGUAAAAACAUCUCAUAAGAGAGUCAAGGAGUUAUUUAAAAUUAUAGAAUGUCAUUGUUACUGGUUCCAGUAUCAAACCAAGGUCCAGUUAAAUUUAGGGGAAUGGAAACUCGUUCAGAAAGAGCUCCGUAAGCAGCUUCAGGCAGGAAAUGUUAUCUCCUUAAAGAUUUGGACACUAUGUAGCGCUAUUACUCAAGCAUUACAAUUAUUAGAGAGUAAUAGUGAAAAGGAUUCUCAUCAUGAAGGCAAAGUUGAUACGUCAAAAUCUGAUACUAAAAUUAAUGAAACGGAGCCCAAGGAAGAUAUUUGUGAUACUGCAGGUGAUUCUCCUAAAUCAGAUUUGGACGAUGAAAGGGAUUUAGAAAGUUUAGAUAGCGACUCUAGUAUGAAAGAAAUAACGGAGGCCUUUGUAAAACAAAUGAAAUUUAAAAAGCAAAGGUCCUCUCUUAAACCUAUUGUUUCUUCUUAUGCUUCCCUUUUUCCAAUUACAAAGUCUAAAGUUGUUGUGGGUAGAGAACAACAGCACUUUUCGUUUCCUCUUACUAUGAUAUAUGAUGAUGAUGAUCUUCCAGCUCCCCCUGGUGGUUUUAUUAAUCCACCACAUUUGUUUCCUAAUACUAAACAACAAAACCCUCAUAAUCCCCAAAUGAUUGAUGUUCAGUAUACUGCAGUGGAAUACAAGUUUAUAAAGGAUUUAAAAGCUGCAGUCUCUCAAUAUGGCCCUCAGUCUCCCUUUGUGCUAGGUAUGUUAGAAAAUUUAGGAACUUCUAAAUUACUUAUUCCCUUGGACUGGGAGGCAUUAGCAAAAACAGUUUUGGAAGGAUCUCAGUGGUUACAAUUGAGAAGUUGGUGGAAAGAUGAGGCACGGAAACAAGCUCGAGAGAAUGAGACUCAAAAUCCUCCUGGACCUAUGGAGGAUAAGUUAAUGGGGGAAGGUAAUUACCGUGCCUUAAGAGAACAGGCUCAAUAUACAGAUCAAGAUAUUCAACAAGUUCGACAGGUUUUCUUGAGAGCUUGGAGAUGUGUAAUACCCACUGGUCAAGCACAACUUUCCUUUACUAAAACCAUACAAGGGGAUACUGAAUCUUAUACUGAUUUUC